ensembl:lncRNA novel transcript, antisense to METTL24
AGAAUGAGGUGACAACAGUCAUCUGAGUGAGAAUGAAGGGCUGUGUGUAUCUGAUUCUGCAAUGCGUCUGCCAUGCCUGGGGAGCUGUUGGGAGAGGGAGCACCAUGAAGUUCACCAGCAGCCAGAAGAAGAUUCCUGAGAGGCCAAGCCAAGUGCUACCUAGAGAGGCCAGCAUGUGGGCUCCACAUUUCUGCUGAAGACGCCUGUGCCCACAAUAAGGCCUGUGUUGGUGUCAGUCUGGAAGAUUAGAGAAGCGGGCAGUGCAGAGCGAAGAGGAGACAGCAGUGGCCAGAGGUGAAACACUGAGGUAGCAGCAGAAAUUCAAAGAAAGAUGACCAGGAAAGAACAUAAGACAUUAAUGGAGCUCAUGUGAGGUAUCUAGAGGACCCAAGUGGUGUUUUUAAAAGAAGCUUAUCAAUGCUGGCAGAUUCCUGCCUCGGUGUGUGUCCCACGACUAAAAAGGAAAUCCAAUUCUAUUUGAGAAAACUGACAAGACAUUCUUUUCCUUGGAGAAAAUGGACUGGGACAAAUUACACACAAAAAGCUGAAAUCUCCACCACCAGUGGUUGAAAAACAAUCGAGCCUCCAUUAGCAGUUCCUUUGCCCACAGAAUGCUCUCUGAGGAACUACGGGGUUUGGAAAAAGUGCAGGCCUCUAUUCUUCAUCCACGACACAUCAAAGUUGUAAUAAAAACCUGCUUUUCUUUGUGCGACUAAGCAACUGCUAUUUCACACCCACAUAUUGCUGGAGCUUAUUCAAUUACCCUCAAUGACUUUGUUUAAAAUGAAAAUGCUUUGCCUCCUAAGGACAGUGUGAGAGGACUGAUUAAUGUUGCUCCCUGAAGAACAGAAGUGUAGGUACACAGGCAAAAACCUGAGGAGCUAGAAACUACUGCUGGGCCAUGUUUCACAAGCAAUUCAAACCUAUCUUCAAGUAUUUUGUAAAGAAUAAGGACUCUUAAGGCAGUUGGACAUAUCAGGGGGCAUCCCAUACCAUUUUUCCUCUUUCUUCUUGAUGACAAUCACAGAAUUAGAAAACUAAGAAGAUGACAAGAAGUGAGAAAGAAAAACCAAAUUUUGCCAUAUGGUUUUUCAGGAGAAGAGGAAACAGUUCUUUUUUUUUUUUUUUUUUUUUCCGCCUGACACAUGGUUCCAAAAGAUCUGUAACUAACGAACCAAGCCAGCACAUUGCUGGGUUCUGGAGCUCUGUGACUCAGAAGUCACUUUUCUAUCCAACAUAUUAAAUGUCAAGUAAAAUAUAUCCGAUAAGAGAGAUGAAACUUUUUCGGGAAGCUUGGCCACUGAGUGAGUGUCUCUCUUUUGCAAAUGGGCCCUGUAUGUUGCAUCUGUCUUUUAGGUGGAUUGCCAACCUAUAAGAGAUAAAACAUCCACCCAAGAGCUGCAUUAAAAAGCAUAAAUCAUGAAGACCAUAUCUAGUCCUCUAUAAAUCCCUUCAAAAAGAACUUUAUCUGUAAUCAUAGUAAAGGUCUGUUUCAUUUAAGAAAGAAAAAAAACCCAAACAGAAACACAUGCAGAUAGAAAACAGAGAGAAAAUAAAAGAAUCACAGUGGUAUUUUUAUGCAUGCAUAGUAUGCGAAAUUUGGAGAUGAAGAGUCCCGACAGAAUGCUUAAAGAAUCUGUAAUACACAAGAAUAUAUAGGUUCCAGGGUGGGCAUAAUCAAAAAGGGCAGUAUUUAUCCAUCAUCUAUCAUUGGCUCUCAUUUUGCAAAGCUUGAAGAUUAGAACCCCUGAUGUCGAAAGAUCUGAAAAUAUUUAGAGCUAGUUCUUGCAUGGCUCCAUGAAGAAGGGGACGAGGAAAGAAAGAAUUAUAUGAGGACUACACUUCACUACUCUUUUUUAUAGCAGAUUGUUUUCUUUAAGAGGAGCAUAAGCUGUGAUUAAAGUGGCAGAAUUUUGGUGCCUCUAACACCUGGAAUGGAAGCAGAGUAACAAGAAAUACUUGGCAACCCAAUUAUUUCAUGCAGGUUUUCAUCUACCCAGAAAGCUGUCCUCAAAAUAGAAUGGAACUUUUUCUCCUUUAUCAAUCUGGGAGGUGCCUGGGGCAAAGUAACCAAGAACCUAAGAAUAUUGUUGAUCAGUAUUCUCAACAAACAAAAUCUAAAUACACUG